UGGGGAAUUUUGCACAAUGGGCGAAAGCCUGAUGCAGCGACGCCGCGUGGAGGACGAAGGCCUUCGGGUUGUAAACUUCUUUUGUAGGGGAAAAUAAUGAUGGUACCCUAUGAAUAAGCCACGGCUAACUCUGUGCCAGCAGCCGCGGUAAGACAGAGGUGGCAAGCGUUAUUCGGAAUUACUGGGCUUAAAGGGCGCGUAGGCGGUAGUGCAAGUCUGGUGUGGAAUUCUAUAGCUUAACUAUAGGGCUGCGCUGGAAACUGCAUUACUUGAGUUGGUGAGGGGAAGGCGGAAUUCCUGGUGUAGCGGUGAAAUGCGUAGAUAUCAGGAGGAAGGCCUGUGGUGAAGACGGCCUUCUGGCACUUAACUGACGCUGAGGCGCGAAAGCGUGGGGAGCAAA
rnacentral:rRNA from 1 species